rnacentral:rRNA from 1 species
UGGGGAAUAUUGCACAAUGGGCGGAAGCCUGAUGCAGCAACGCCGCGUGAGUGAUGAAGGCCUUCGGGUUGUAAAGCUCUGUCUUUUGGGACGAUAAUGACGGUACCAAAGGAGGAAGCCACGGCUAACUACGUGCCAGCAGCCGCGGUAAUACGUAGGUGGCAAGCGUUGUCCGGAUUUACUGGGCGUAAAGGAUGCGUAGGCGGAUUUUUAAGUGAGAUGUGAAAUACCCGGGCUUAACUUGGGUGCUGCACUUCAAACUGGGGAAAUCUAGAGUGCGGGAGAGGAGAAUGGAAUUCCUAGUGUAGCGGUGAAAUGCGUAGAGAUUAGGAAGAACACCAGUGGCGAAGGCGAUUCUCUGGACCGUAACUGACGCUGAGGCAUGAAAGCGUGGGUAGCAAACAGGAUUAGAUACCCUGGUAGUCCACGCCGUAAACGAUGAGUACUAGGUGUAGGAGGUAUCGACCCCUUCUGUGCCGCAGUUAACACAAUAAGUACUCCGCCUGGGAAGUACGAUCGCAAGAUUAAAACUUAAAUGAAUUGACGGGGUCAUAGCUG